CCUACGGGAGGCAGCAGUGAGGAAUAUUGGUCAAUGGACGAGAGUCUGAACCAGCCAAGUAGCGUGAAGGAUGACUGCCCUAUGGGUUGUAAACUUCUUUUAUAUGGGAAUAAAAUGUUCCACGUGUGGGAUUUUGUAUGUACCAUAUGAAUAAGGAUCGGCUAACGCAGUGCCAGCCGCCGCGGUAAUACGGAGGAUCCGAGCGUUAUCCGUAUUUAUUGGGUUUAAAGGGAGCGUAGGUGGAUUGUUAAGUCAGUUGUGAAAGUUUGGGGCUCAACCGUAACAUUGCAGUUGAAACUGGCAGUCUUGAGUACGGUAGAGGUGGGCGGAAUUCGUGGUGUAGCGGUGAAAUGCUUAGAUAUCACGAAGAACUCCGAUUGCGAAGGCAGCUCACUGGACUGCAACUGACACUGAGGCUCGAAAGUGUGGGUAUCAAACAGGAUUAGAUACCCUAGUAGUC
rnacentral:rRNA from 1 species